GACCAAUUUUUGGGGUGUUUUGAAAGCAUCUGGUAAGUGUGAGUGCACUUGUUGGUUU
rnacentral:tRNA from 1 species